UACGUAGGGUGCAAGCGUUAAUCGGAAUUACUGGGCGUAAAGCGUGCGCAGGCGGUUUUGUAAGUCUGUCGUGAAAGCCCCGGGCUCAACCUGGGAAUUGCGAUGGAGACUGCAAGGCUUGAAUCUGGCAGAGGGGGGUAGAAUUCCACGUGUAGCAGUGAAAUGCGUAGAGAUGUGGAGGAACACCGAUGGCGAAGGCAGCAACCUGGGUCAAGAUUGACGCUCAUGCACGAAAGCGUGGGGAGCAAACAGG
rnacentral:rRNA from 1 species